GACGAACGCUGGCGGCGCGCCAACACAUGCAAGUCGAACGAGCGAGAGAGAGCUUGCUUUCUCAAGCGAGUGGCGAACGGGUGAGUAACGCGUGAGGAACCUGCCUCAAAGAGGGGGACAACAGUUGGAAACGACUGCUAAUACCGCAUAAUGCUUUUGAGCGGCAUCGCUUGAAAGCCAAAGAUUUAUCGCUGAAAGAUGGUCUCGCGUCUGAUUAGCUAGUUGGUGAGGUAACGGCUCACCAAGGCGACGAUCGGUAGCCGGACUGAGAGGUUGAACGGCCACAUUGGGACUGAGACACGGCCCAG
rnacentral:rRNA from 1 species